CGUGUAGGCGGAUCUUUAAGUCAGGUGUGAAAUCUUUGGGCUUAACCCAGAGUUUGCAUUUGAUACUGGGGAUCUUGAGUGCAGGAGAGGGCAGUGGAAUUCCUAGUGUAGCGGUGAAAUGCGUAGAUAUUAGGAGGAACACCAGUGGCGAAGGCGACUGCCUGGACUGUAACUGACGCUGAGGCGCGAAAGCGUGGGGAGCAAACAG
rnacentral:rRNA from 1 species